rnacentral:rRNA from 1 species
GUCCACGCCCUAAACUAUGAUUACUCGCUGUCGGCGAUAUACCGUCGGUAGCUAAGCGAAAGCGUUAAGUAAUCCACCUGGGGAGUACGCUCGCAAGGGUGAAACUCAAAGGAAUUGACGGGGGCCCGCACAAGCGGAGGAGCAUGUGGUUUAAUUCGAUGGUACGCGAGGAACCUUACCCGGGCUUGAAAGUUAGUGACCGUCUCUGAAAGGAGACUUUUCGUAAGAACACGAAACUAGGUGCUGCAUGGCUGUCGU